GACAGCAGCAGCCACGGUAAUACAGAGGGUGCAAGCGUUAAUCGGAUUUACUGGGCGUAAAGGGCGCGUAGGUGGUUAUUUAAGUGAGAUGUGAAAGCCCCGGGCUUAACCUGGGAACUGCAUCUUAUACUGGGUAACUGGAGUGCAGUAGAGGGUAGUGGAAUUUCCGGCGUAGCGGUGAAAUGCGUAGAUAUCGGAAGGAACACCAGUGGCGAAGGCGGCUACCUGGACUGAGACUGACACUGAGGCGCGAGAGCGUGGGGAGCAAACAGGAUUAGAUACCCCUGUAGUCCCUGUCUCUUAUAA
rnacentral:rRNA from 1 species